rnacentral:rRNA from 1 species
AUUGAACGCUGGCGGAAUGCUUAACACAUGCAAGUCGAACGGCAGCACGGGCUUCGGCCUGGUGGCGAGUGGCGGACGGGUGAGUAAUGCUUGGGAAUCUGCCUAGUGGUGGGGGAUAACUCUCCGAAAGGGGAGCUAAUACCGCAUAAGUUCUACGGAGGAAAGCGGGGGAUCUUCGGACCUCGCGCCAUUAGAUGAGCCCAAGUCCGAUUAGCUAGUUGGCGGGGUAAAGGCCCACCAAGGCGACGAUCGGUAGCUGGUCUGAGAGGACGAUCAGCCACACUGGGACUGAGACACGGCCCAGACUCCUACGGGAGGCAGCAGUGGGGAAUAUUGGACAAUGGGCGCAAGCCUGAUCCAGCAAUGCCGCGUGUGUGAAGAAGGCCUGCGGGUUGUAAAGCACUUUAAGCAGGAAAGAAGGGGUGGGAGUUAAUACCUUUCAUCAUUGACGUUACCUGCAGAAUAAGCACCGGCUAACUCCGUGCCAGCAGCCGCCGUAAAAC